AUUGAACGCUGGCGGCAGGCCUAACACAUGCAAGUCGAACGCGUGGCGGACGGGAGAGGAAUGUCUGGGAAACUGCCUGAGGGAGGGGGAUAACUACUGGAAAGGGUAGCUAAUACCGUAUACCAGCAGUUGUGCCCAGAUGGGAUUAGCUUGUUGGUGGGGUAACGGCUCACCAAGGCGACGAGCCCUAGCUGGUCUGAGAGGAGGACCAGCACCACUGGAACUGAGACACGGUCCAGACUCCUACGGGAGGCAGCAGUGGGGAAUAUUGCACAAUGGGCGCAAGCCUGAUGCAGCCAUGCCGCGUGUGUGAAGAAGGCCUUCGGGUUGUAAAGUACUUUCAGCGGGGAGGCGUUACCCGCAGAAGAAGCACCGGCUAACUCCGUGCCAGCAGCCGCGGUAAUAC
rnacentral:rRNA from 1 species